GCAGCUCCUUUGGUAGAGCAUGAGACUCUUAGUCUCGAGAUUGUGGGUUCGAGCUCCAUGUUGGGCA